GAAACCAAAGGUGCCAAUAGGUCCUUCUUGCAUUGUCACUGUAGGGGAGUAGGACAGAGCCUAGAGAUAGCAGAAGAUAUUUCCCAUUGAAUUUUGGAGCAGUAUAUGUGCAUAGAGAUACUAUGUGCUUCUGUCUACAGGUCCCUGAAGGCAGAAGGUCAGCAAGAGUAGCCUGUGUCAGCAGAGUAUGAAGGGAUCUUCACAUGUGGAUAUGGUAUCCAGACUUUAAAAAGGAAAGGGAAAAAGUAUCACAAGGAUGGACAAUGCUAUUACAAGUCCUGGAGUUGCCAUCCAGCCCAUGAUGGAGAUGGAUUUAAGGACUGCCAAGGAAGGGCUUUCUCUGAAUGGCAGGGAACAAAGCUCAAGCCACUCCAGAACCCUCCCGUGCCACUCUGAGAGGCAAUAUGGAGUCUGCAUCCUAGCUAUAGGUUUGGCCAUCGUCCAACCCGGACCAACAUCGUGGCCAGGAUGGGAAAGGAACUGUGUGAGUAAGCUGGCUAUGUGCUACCUCUGGGACCAGUGGGAGCAAGAGCUGUUAGAGAGCAGUGAAG
rnacentral:lncRNA from 12 species